GGGCCGUUAGUUCAGUUGGUAGAAUGCGUCUCUCCUACACGUUACGUGAUAAGGCGAUGAAGAUGAGGUCCUGGGUUCGAGCCCCAGGCGGCCCUA